rnacentral:rRNA from 1 species
GACGUAGGGCGCGAGCGUUGUCCGGAUUUAUUGGGCGUAAAGAGCUCGUAGGCGGUUUGUCGCGUCGUCUGUGAAAACCCACGGCUCAACUGUGGGCUUGCAGUCGAUACGGGCAGGCUAGAGUUCGGUAGGGGAGACUGGAACUCCUGGUGUAGCGGUGAAAUGCGCAGAUAUCAGGAGGAACACCGGUGGCGAAGGCGGGUCUCUGGGCCGAUACUGACGCUGAGGAGCGAAAGCGUGGGGAGUGAACAGG